rnacentral:rRNA from 1 species
UACACACCGCCCGUCGCUACUACCGAUUGAAUGGCUGAGUGAGGCCUUCGGACUGACCCAGGGAGGUCGGCAACGACCACCCAGGGCCGGAAAGUUGGUCAAAAUCCGUCAUUUAGAGGAAGUAAAAGUCGUAACAAGGUUUCCGUAGGUGAACCUGCGGAAGGAUCAUUAAAGAGUAAGGGUGCUCAGCGCCCGACCUCCAACCCUUUGUUGUUAAAACUACCUUGUUGCUUUGGCGGGACCGCUCGGUCUCGAGCCGCUGGGGAUUCGUCCCAGGCGAGCGCCCGCCAGAGUUAAACCAAACUCUUGUUAUUAAACCGGUCGUCUGAGUUAAAAUUUUGAAUAAAUCAAAACUUUCAACAACGGAUCUCUUGGUUCUCGCAUCGAUGAAGAACGCAGCGAAAUGCGAUAAGUAAUGUGAAUUGCAGAAUUCAGUGAAUCAUCGAAUCUUUGAACGCACAUUGCGCCCCUUGGUAUUCCGAGGGGCAUGCCUGUUCGAGCGUCAUUACACCACUCAAGCUAUGCUUGGUAUUGGGUGCCGUCCUUAGUUGGGCGCGCCUUAAAGACCUCGGCGAGGCCACUCCGGCUUUAGGCGUAGUAGAAUUUAUUCGAACGUCUGUCAAAGGAGAGGAUCUCUGCCGAUUGAAAGCUUUAUUUUUCUAGGUUGACCUCGGAUCAGGUAGGGAUACCCGCUGAACUUAAGCAUAUCAAUAAGCGGAGGA